AAAAAAACGCCAAACGAAUCGCACGGAGCGAACGAGCGAGGCCUCAGGGUGCCCUCGAGCCAGAACCACUCGCAGCAGAUCCCUUCGCCGCUGCCCUCGCAGAUCAUCCCCCCCGCCGAUCCAUCCCUUCGCCGCCGCCGAUCCCUGCGCGUGCGAGGACGAUCCACUACAGGAGACGCCGCCGAUCCCGUGGAGGACCCGUCGCCGAUCCCCUUCAGGAGCCGACGCCGAUCCCCUAAGCCGGCGCUGAUCCCCGUUGAGGAGCCACCGACAAGAUCACUGAGGUUUAUUGGGGAGUGCUCAUACGCGUGAUGGAGAGAAGACAACACGCUUUGCUCCUCCUCCAAGCCUGCAAGUCUGCUUCUUUUCACCACAAGGCCGCAGAUCGGAAUUCUGCCUGAUGGAUUCAAACGGCAGAUGCUACGGGGCAGCCAGAUCGAGUCCCACCCUGAGGGCUCGACCUUCUUGGUCCACGGUUGUGGUCGGUGCGGAACUCAACCCCCCGAAGAUGUGCGCAAGGUUGAUACAACCGGGGCUAUCAAGCUUCAUGCAUGAAUUUUUUUGUGUUCUUCGAUGCAAGCAUAUUACAUAAAGAUACAAGCCAGCUACUAGCUAAAGGAAUUUUGUUUGUCUUUGAUACGGUUGACCUCUUAGAGGAAGUGUCCUUUAGGAUAAUUUGAUUACGUUUCCACGAAUAUCCGGUAGAAUUAGUGCUUUCACAACACUCAGCGGGAGCUAAAGCUGUAGUUUUUCAUGCGCAUGUGCUAAUCGCCUUGAGGAGAAAAUUGUUGCUUGUGUUAGCAUCAGGCAAGACUGGAGGUGGAUUGAUGCAACAACUAAUCACGAAGGAGAACGCAAAGAGGUACCUGAAAGGCUGAACCUGAUCUUUGAUGAACUAGAAGGCCAAGAGACCAAGGACUCCAGUGGGCGACUCCUGAAAUGAGUACUCCUGAAACUUUAACCAGUGGCCAUGUUGAUGGUAUUUUUUGGGAACAGGGGAGGGCGUGUGUUAUUGUUCAAACCAGGCGCCUGAUUUUUUUCAAUCUUUAGCCAGUGACCACAUUGCUGCCCUAAGCGAUGAACAGGGGAGGGCGUGUGUUAUUGCAGUUAACUAUGUGUCAUCUGGUCUUCAUAGUGAUUGGUAGCUUCAAACCAUAAGCCACCUCUGAAUUCAUAUCGAAGUCAUACGAGCUGGGCUUUUGUUGCUUGGAUCUCCAGGGGCCUGAUCAAUUGAACAAGUAUAUUGGGGAGAGUGAAUCAGAAGUAAGGAAAAUAUGAACUCGUGCAAGCACUAACUCAUCAUACAUCCUUUUUUUCUGAGGUAAAACUAAGUAGUUGUGGCAGCUUUGGAUGAGAGAACCCAAUUCCUGGUAAAUUGGACAUCAUCAAUGAGUUCGUCGAGUUUGAUUGAACUCUCACACUUUGAACAUCCUCUAUUUAAAGCAAGGCCAUCCCUGUCAUAACAGGUACAGUAAAAUGCCAACACAUAUAUGAUUGAUGUUAUGAUAGUAUACUUGACUUUGGGAUGAUGAGAUCGACGGAAGCAACAGGAGCCCACGACUCAUGGGGAGGGCGUGUAACAAUGCUUUCCUACAUUUGGUGGAUUAUUGCAUUUGUAUUUUUUAUUGUUAUCAUCUAGAAGAUUAUAUUCUGUAUGAAUGCUUUUAACAAUGCUUCGUCAUGCCGUCCCCGCCGAUGCUGCUGUUCAUGCCGUCCCCCCAGUGCCUAGCAUCACCGGCAACAAGUUCAGCGCUGUCCGACAAGGUGCCCUGCAGGGACAACCUCCGUCGACCUGUCAUCGAACUUCAGUAUUCGUGCUUUGUUCUCUGAAACUGAAUUCAGACCUUGAGUACUACUUUUAUUUGAAAGAAAAUAUGUGCGUGAUUCCAUAACUUAUGCCAAAAUGCAUAGCAUAGCUUGGUAUACACGAAUUGCAAUCUGAACAUUUUUCUCUGUGUCGUCGUCCUGCUUUCUGGUUCUCUGUUAUCUGUCAUCUUAUAUCUCUGAAUUGUUGUUGGCUGCAUGCGCAGCUGCUUUAGGCAGGAGCAGUGACUAGCAUUGACCAGGAGGAGCAAGAAGCAGCGACAGCUACCAUUGCUGGCUGAGCUAGCUGCUAGGUUGCCUCUCUCUUUCCCUCAUAUAUGUGGGUUUGCAACAGCCAAAAAUACGCUUGCGAUUCUUUGUUUUCACUAACAGUCCAUAUUUGGAUGCCUUCUUUCUACCCAGCUUUGGUUACUUGCGACGGGUUGUGGGUUGCAAGUUAGAAUAAUCGGUACUGAAAACGGCUUCUGAAUGUUAAAAAGCCAAUGGGGUAGAAAGCUAUAGAGAUAACUAGGGGUUGGGACGCCACCUUGUGGCGCCUCAUGAGAGGAAGCUGGGCGGUGCCAGGUUGGCAGCCGCCCAUUCUAGUUCUUUUUUUACAAUUUUGGUAACGCCGCAACAUGACAUGUUAGUGAGAAGUUGCACUAUAAAUUUUGGAGGUUUAUGAUGACGGAGGAGAUAUCAUCUUUGCUCCUCCUAUUCACAGGUUGAAGCUCUACUAGCAACGGAUGUUUACGACGAUGCAGGAGAUGCCGUCUUUGCUUCUACUGUUCAUCGGCUGAUCCGUGAGAUGCUUCGCAGUUGCCUAUGUGUCCCUGAUGUCAUUGAUCUUUGUCAGAUAAUAUGUCUAUCUAUUUGUAAAGAUUGAUAGUCCACCUUACUAUCUAGAUAUUUUCAGUCCUUUUCAAAGGAACCAAACCAUUUGUAGUUGACAGUUUAUACAAAUACAUACCCAUGAUUAUUAAGAUGACAUGUACA